GCGCCCGUAGCUCAAUCGGAUAGAGCCGUGGAUUUCUAAUCCACCGGUUGGGGGUUCGAGUCCCCCCGGGCGCGCC
rnacentral:tRNA from 1 species